GAUGCAUUUCAUACACGGUGAGGGGAAAGAAGCUGAUGCCCCCCCCCACACACACAUACCUGUCCGUACUCGUUGCCCACGUUUGUCACCCACGCUGCAGUGCCCGCAGCUUUGCCAGCCAGCUUGGAGGUCAUCUGGACGUGUGACAAAAGGCAGAAAGAAAAUAUUCCAUCUUCAGAAUGUUGCCGAAGAUAGACGUGACCCUGGCCUUGGUCGCCUCCAGCCUAGACAGGGCGUCCCUGACAAAGACGGAGAGGAGCCAGCCCACGGUGGGCACCGGGUGCAGGGGUGGGACAGUCACCGGCUUGACUGCUGCACCCGCUACGCCCAGCUUCUUCAGCACCCCGAGGCGUCUCACAGGCUCAGCACUUACUUGUAGGUGAGUACAGCCGGGAAUUGAUUCCGGUGACCCGGGUCCAACUGAUUGAUGAUGUCCGGGACCCAGGCGGCCAUCUUCUUCCCACAGGAACGACAUUCCAGGUACUCUGUGCCCAUAAAGUACCAGCCGUCCCUGUCCAGAACCCUGCGCACCGUCUUGUACAGUCCUGCGCCGGUCAGCUUUGUGUCACAGCUGGGGCACACAAGCCUGCACGCCCACAUCCUGUAGGGCAUCCACAGGAAGAACGGCCUCUGGAAGAAGGCGUGGGACGAUGCAGGGGUCUGGGUGUAGAGGGGCCGGGCUCCGGGAGGGUACCACCAGAGGCGAAGGUCGGUGGUGAGGACACGCUGGCCCCUGGCGUUCCUGGUGAACAGAGCCCGGCCCACCCAGUCCUGCUGCUCCUCCGGCAGAGUCUGCCUCCAGCUGUGAGGCAGCAACUUCACCACAGAAACAGACAAAAGGACAGCCCUCAGCUGCGGCUGCAGCUCUGGUCCUGGGCCGCACGGCGACGCCGCUGUCACCACUGGAAGACAGGUCCAGGUCAUCGACUGGCACAGGAGUGGAGGCUGAAGAUGGGACCUCUGCAAAAAUAACUAAAAGUAAUCAAAGUCAUGCAAAUACUCAGACAUGAGAGAGAUUCCACAACACGUGUCGUUGAAUCUGUCUGAUGUCUGUGUUCUGUGCACAGAACAAACUUUACUAUCCCAGUUAAACUACUGACGGACAACAACAAUCACCAUACCAUAAUGUGAUGACAUACAGACGGACAGCGAAGCGUGAGUAUCUACCAAGGUUAGGUUGUUAGGCCUACAGCUGAUCUCUACAGGGUCCAGUAAACAUCAACCGUACCUCGUAGUCACCUUAUAACUUACAUACAGUUUUACACCAUUAAUCCAUAGAAGGCUUCUGAAUAACAGAAGAACAGCUAUUAUCAGGUCCAAACACGUUCACCACAGAAUCAUUUACAUUUGAUAAAGGGUUAUAACCAUUGCAUGUGUGCUUGUGCGUGUGAGUGAACUCACGCUGACUCUCCACCUCCAAGGCAGCAGCCAGGAGCAUCUCGUCUGAGGGCUCGUUAGCAGCUGUUUCACACAGAAAAGACAAAGAAACACCUACUGUCAGAUGGUGGGCACUGGGGCUGCUGGGAGGGAUGCUGGUUCUUCUCCUGGUCCCGGCCCAGUAUGUAGGUCUUUAAAGCAUGCAGGUUGCUGCCUGGGAUGCACUUCUUCUUCCUCAGCCACUGCACGUAGCUACAGAAACAACAACAUCACUAACAACUGUGUGCGCGGUUGUUCCAGACAGACUCAAUGUCACUAUUUCAUCUGCACUGGUGUUUGUUGUCUGUGCACAGGCUUACGUCUCAACCUCUUUCCCCGUGGCCUCGUACAUGGAGGCGUAGGUCAUGGCUCCGUGGGGGCCGAACUCCACCAACUUCUUGUCUUGGCUCCGGACAGACUUGGAACCCUCCGUGGCACGGCGUCCCUCCACGGCUGACAUCACCUCUGGGAACAGCUUGCUGUAGGAGCACCUUGUUGGCCAUAAGUGGUGAGCUGGAUGUGUCACCACUCUCCCGCUCCUUCUGGUGUGAGGCCAGCAGGGACACAGCGUAGCCCACGUCGUGACUCAGGAGCCACUUGAAGGUCUGUCCCCGGUACUGCCCAAACUGGAUCUCAUAUUGGCUGAGAAGCAGCUGGGAGCAGUGGGGAUCUCCUCCUCCUUGCAGAGUGCGAGCUUGCGCCUCCUCCUUCACCUUUUGAGGCACCUUCACCUUCCAUGCCUCAGACCCAUGAUAGGCCUGGGCCACCGUCAGUGCUUCUGGUGAGGGCCUGAGAGUGAGCUCAGUGGACGAAGGCUGCACACGGAACAAAGGGCGAUGGUCCAUGAUCUAAGGAAUCAGAGAAACAUACAAUGAGCUGUACACACGUUAAUAAAAACAUUAUAUGUCUUAUCCUA